rnacentral:rRNA from 1 species
CAGCAGCCACGGGAAUACGUAGGGUGCGAGCGUUAUUCGGAAUCAUUGGGCUUAAAGCGCGUGUAGGCGGAUGGGAACGUCGGUCGCUGAAAUACCCCGGCUCAACCGGGGAACUGGCAUCGAAACGACCCGUCUCGAGGGGCAUAGGGGGAGCUGGAACUUCCGGUGGAGCGGUGAAAUGCGUUGAGAUCGGAAGGAACGCCCGUGGCGAAAGCGAGCUCCUGGAUGUCUUCUGACGCUGAGACGCGAAAGCUAGGGUAGCGAACGGGAUUAGAUACCCGCGUAGUCCCUGUCUCUUAUA